UACGUAGGGGGCAAGCGUUGUCCGGAAUCAUUGGGCGUAAAGCGCGUGUAGGCGGCCCGGUAAGUCCGCUGUGAAAGUCGGGGGCUCAACCCUCGAAUGCCGGUGGAUACUGUCGGGCUAGAGUGCGGGAGAGGCGAGUGGAAUUCCUGGUGUAGCGGUGAAAUGCGCAGAUAUCAGGAGGAACACCAAUUGCGAAGGCAGCUCGCUGGAACGUAGCUGACGCUGAGACGCGAAAGCGUGGGGAGCAAACAGG
rnacentral:rRNA from 1 species